rnacentral:rRNA from 1 species
AACGAACGCUGGCGGCAUGCCUAACACAUGCAAGUCGAACGAGACCUUCGGGUCUAGUGGCGCACGGGUGCGUAACGCGUGGGAACCUGCCCUUAGGUUCGGAAUAACUCCCCGAAAGGGGUGCUAAUACCGGAUAAUGUCUUCGGACCAAAGAUUUAUCGCCUUUGGAUGGGCCCGCGUUGGAUUAGCUAGUUGGUAGGGUAAAAGCCUACCAAGGCGACGAUCCAUAGCUGGUCUGAGAGGAUGAUCAGCCACACUGGGACUGAGACACGGCCCAGACUCCUACGGGAGGCAGCAGUGGGGAAUAUUGGACAAUGGGCGAAAGCCUGAUCCAGCAUGCCGCGUGAGUGAUGAAGGCCUUAGGGUUGUAAAGCUCUUUUACCCGGGAUGAUAAUGACAGUACCGGGAGAAUAAGCUCCGGCUAACUCCGUG